rnacentral:lncRNA from 1 species
AAAAGAUGUUUAAUCUCAGACUUUUAACUCUGAAGACAUAUGACAUCCAGAAACAUGCAUCAUUUACUCUAAUAUAGAUAUAAAUAUUCAUCAGUACAUCAUUUUCAUCACAUCGGUUCGAUAUGUUUCUCUAUUUUUGCUUGGUUUUGCCGGCAGUGCACCGUUAACAAACACCAUCUUCGAUACGAGCAUCGCGAAAGUGCUGAACACCCCUCACCAGAUUCCAGGCUUGAGCCUACGAUUCUUUGAAACAAACCUUGCAGACUUGAGCUUAUGCUUCCUUGCAAGACGAGUUGCAACCUUGUCAUUGUCCAGUGCCAUCCCUUUGAAAAUAGAAAUUAAAACAACUCAGAUAUAUACACCAUCUGAACAUCUUGCGAGCAGUAUGGGAAGAUGAGAUGAAUUAAAACUUAAUAAAUGACGUACACAAUAAUAGUUAAAAAAGGAAUAGACACACAAUAAAGAGAAAUGGCAUUGCAGUGGAGUAUACUGAUAAAGAAAACAGCUUCGCCUAAAUAUUAAUGCAAACAUAAUGGCAUGCUAGACUUGAUCUGCCUUCAGAUCUUAAUGCCAUCAUCUCUUUACCGUUAGCUCUCAGCUACAUGUCAUCAUAGUGUAGUCUUCUUUAUUUCGUUCUUUUUUGCGACAACGAAUGUUGUCUGAGAACACCACGUAGCCAUGAUGCAUGUGACGUUUGUGGCCUCAAUGAGCAGGUAUUGCCUUUGCCAAUCAGCUGGAAGGAUUACAACUCACGCAGGGGAUUGGUGGUGAUCGUGCUGCAGACGGGACGGCACAGGGGUGCUGUAUUAAGGUGGCACAAGGCUGAAGCCAACAAGAGGACAGCAAACUCAAGAAACAUGGAGUACCGACAACAACAACAGUCGAGGUGUAAGGAUGUCGGAUGAGGCGUGAGAAGAUGAAGAAAACAGUCGGAAGGCUUAGACCUGGGAAUGGUUUGGACUCAAACUUCAAUUUUGGAUCAGUUUUCCUACUGGACUCUUUAGGUUUGGAUAAAAUGGGCUGAGUUUCUAAUGUAAGUUGGUUUGAUUUGGGUUUUUUCUAUUAUUGGUUUGGUUUGGUUCGGUCUGGUCACAUACCAAACAAUCCCAAACUAUUUCAACCCAUGGACUAAGAACCAAAUCGGCCACCAGCUUCUCCUCCUCACAGUUCGCAUCGUAAUGGCAAUGUCGUCUCGUCGUUACUGCUAAGACCACGGAUACGGCGGGUGGCGGAACCAAAACCACAGUCUAUGGGCUCGGGUCGUGCACCAGGAAAAUCAGAAAAGGCGGGCUAAGGGCUGUGUGUAGAGCAGGUAUCGGCUUAGAGCAUCUACAACCGCACAUGAUAAAUAUGACCUCUUAAACGUCCACGGAUAGGGACCGGACACUCCUCAAAUUAGCACAACUACAUCCGGACAUCUCAUACUAGAUUCUCUAAUCCACAAAAGCAUGCAAACGAUAAAACCUACUCCCUCCGUACCUAAAUACAACUCGUUUUAGAGAUUCCAUUAUGAACUACAUACGCAGCAUGAGCGAAUGUACACUCUAAAAUACGUCUAUAUACAUAUGUAGUUUAAUGUUGAAAUCUCUCUAAAAAACUUAUAUUUAGGAACGCGGGAAGUACGUACUACAUAGAUGAUCUAGUUACUCAUCGUCAGAGAUGUCGACAAUAUUCGUGCCUGGCUUCGACAGCAUGGGGAGCACCUGCAGCUCCGACGCCUCCGGCUGCUCCGCUCCGGCCUCCUCCUCCCCUAUCUCUGCAUCGAGUUCAACGAAGACUGUGCCGGCCGCCGUCUGCUCCUGCAGGAGGAACUGCCAGUUGGCCUCCGCAUAGGCCUCAUCCUGGAUGGACUCCAAGCUGGCCUGCUGCUCCGCCAUCUCCGCGGCUUGGGCGAGGUGAACUCCGCCUCCGCCUCCGCCUCCGCCUCUACCAUGUUGAACCCCGUAGCAGGCUGGUCCGCCUCGUCCUCCUCCGGAUCCGCCAGCUCCAUUGGCUCCGACAGCAGCUCUCCUUCCUCCGGCUGCUCCUCCUCCUCUUCCUCCGGCUCCGUCGAGUCCGGGGGCAUCCCGGCAGCGAUGCGGGCGGCACGCCUUGCCCGGGCUGCCUCCGUGAUCUGCCUCCGGCGCUCCGGCGUGAGAAUAGCGUACGUGGUGAUCAGCCGCCGGACCAUGGCAAUGCCGGAGGGCGUGGGAUAGCGGGGGAGAGGUGGCGGAAGGGAUCGAGUGGCGGUACAGAGAAGGAGGAGGUGGAUGGGCUAGGGUUGGCCUCGGGUAGCGAGCCGAAGCAGCACCACCCGACAUUUACACCAUGGCAACGAAGGAGGCAUCCGUCUGACCUCUGAGUUUUCGGAUGAGUCCACGUGGGACCCCAUCAUCAGUCCUACGUGGUGGACGCACCCGGGCACCCCAUAUCCCCCUAUAUAUAUUUGGGCUAGAUAUGAGGAGUGCCGGUCAGCCCAAGCGUUUAAGGCUCGUUCAAGGCGCCCGUCUGGGUCGAAAAUUUGUGACCUAUCAGUGACUGGGUGGCCCGCCUGGGCGUAUGUGGCGGGUUUGGGAUGCCGGGCUAUAGAUGCUUUUAGAGGCAAGCAUCUCGUCGACGUCCACUUUCUGCUCCGUCUGGAUACAGCGGUUGGCCUCCGCCUCCGACAGAAAUGAAUCGAGGAUUGACUGCUGCUUCGCCUGCAUCGGUCAGUGACUAGGUCGUCCGUUCGGGCAUUUAAUGGGGUUUAAGGCUUUCCGUCACGCAUUUGUGAGUAUGAUGAAUCCAUUUGUUGUAGGUAAUUAGUUAACCAUCGAACAGGAGGCCCCUAGGUAGAUUUAACGCCAAGUUGAACCUCAUUUAACCAUCGAACAGGAGGCCUAGUGUCGCUCCCCGCGAGCGGCCCGAGCACUAACCCUAGCCGCCGGGCACCGCCGCCACCCAUCCCACCCUCCUCCCUCGCCGCCGCCGGCGAGCGCCGCCCAGGCAAAGCCCGUGUGGUGUCGGCGGCGGCGGGCUCUUCCACUCCCGCUCGCGAGGUGGGCUGUGCGGGGCAGUUGCGCCAAGCGGACGAGGCAGGCGCGAGGCGCUACGGCGUGUGGCUGUGUGUGGGCCGGCGCUGCUCGGCACGCCAUGGUCGCGGUGUAGGAGUCGUGGGCGCACGAGGUCUCCAGCCCGCGCGGCUCUGGCGUCGAGGGCGCGCGCUGUGGCGGGCUUGGCUGCGCUGGGAGGCACCGUGCUCGCGCGCCGGGGAUCCGGAUCUGGCGCCUGGAUGUCGCGCCGUGGCUUUGGCGACCCGGAUCUGGUGUGCCCGCGGGGCCCCGCGGCUGGCGGCCCGCCUGCGGCUCGGAUCCAUGGCGGCGGCCAUGGCUGGUGGCACGCGGCGCAGCUUGGCGGUGAGCAGCGCCGGCAUGGACAGAUGGACCGAUUCCCUGGCCAUGUGGAUGGUGGGGAGGUGGUGGGCUUCGGCUGCGGCGGCGGUUCCUCGCUGGAUGUUGGUGGCCAUGGUGAUGUUCGUCCUCGACCCUGAUCUACUCCGAUCUGCAGCGGAUCCGGCCCUUGGUGGCUUCGGUCACCAUUCUUGGGUGCUGGCCUUGCAGAUCCGGUGGCUGGAAGGGUUCCGGGGGAAUCUCUUGGCCGGCGUGGCGGCCACUCCGAUGGCAGUGCCUUUGGGUGUUGCUUCCCUCGUUGGAGGCUUCGGGGAGGACGUCCUUCCUUCCACCCCUCCCAGGAGCUCAGGUGAAAACCUCAAAAACCCCUGUUCCAAGCGACGACGACACCACGGUGUCGUGCUCCUUCCUGAAGGCGUUGCUCGGGGGCUGCUCAAUUGGCGGCGGUUCGGUGUCGACACAUGCAUUCUGGUCAGCUUCAUCUUGAAGGCUGCGGCGACGUAGGCGACGCUCGUCUGGUGGAGCUACUGCUGAUGGUCGAGGCAUCGUCGGCAGUCUGCGCCAUCAGGUUCGGGGUGCUCAGGGGGAAACCCCAGAUCUGGGUCUUCCGGAUCGGAUGAUGAUGGCGUUCUAUCGCUUACCCUUCUGGGGCCAUCGUCUUGGAGCAAGUGCUGGCUGGAGGGAUGGUGGAGCGGUGUUUCAUCUCACACUUUGAUGGCGGCGGAGAUCGAUGGCAUGGCGCUGUGGAGACUCGGCGUCCGAUGUGCGGAGAUGGGCUCGCGCAGGAGGAGGUUGUUGUCUGGCGUUAUGGUGACGUCGAUGGCUGAGUGGCCAGACAAGGUAGAAGCCUCAAUAUGAUCUGAAGACCUGUGGAAGAUGGCGGCGACGACACACGAGUGCGUCUGACCGGGUUGUGCCCCAGACCCGUUAUGUGGCUCGGCUGGGGCCUCCGAAUGAGUUUCGGCUUCCGGCUUUUGAUGUUAGGCUUAGGUGAGUGGUUUGGGUAGUGGCCCAGCUAGCACCCCUUCAUCAUUUUCGAUAGGAGUAGCGGCAUAUGUUGCCAAGAUGGUGGAUUCAGACACAUUGUUGUAACACUUUGUAAGGUCCUCGAGAAUAAUCAAUAAAGUGUCGUAUGCAUCAGAGGCCGGGGGUCAUCCUCCUUUUCUAAAAAAAAAUUGUUGUAGGUAUGGUGAAUCAGUUGUGAGUGCGUGGCUAGCUUUAGAGUCCACAUGCACGCAUGCAUGUUUCAUUGGUCACGCAUUUUAAAAACGACAGCGACAGAAAUUAGGAGGCAUGCGGCAGCAGCUAAUCAGAAACGACAGCGAUGGAAAUUAGGAGGCAUGCGGCAGCAGCUAAUCAGAUACUGUACACGCCCAUGGUUUGGAACUUCAGGUACGAACUGUAUAUAGUCUGGAUUGGUUUGGAUUGAAAAUAUGUACAGUUUGGGUUGGUUUGGAUUGCACCCUAUGCUGUUUGGUCUAAUCUGGUUUGGUUGCUGGACUUAUACACAUAUGGAUUGGGCUGGGUUUAGUCUGGAUUACAAAUUAUUCCCAGGUUUAGGAAGGCUUGUCGCCAGAACCAAGACGAAAACAGUCACAUGAGAAGCGCUAAUUCUACAGGAGUUUUACCUAAUGACAUUACCAUGCAGGGAGACCGGCUUUUCACUGAACCAGUAUCCAGUUAGUUCCACGUGUAUGAAAGGAGUACACAUUAUUAGAAGGAUUCUGACAGAGGAACAGCCAAAGAUGUGACCUGGUUGACCCAAAGUAACCCAACCACAUACACAUUCAAAAACUUUUACUAACAGAAAAAUAUACUCCUUGAGGACAUUAUGUGACGGAGGGAAUAUGUGUUUAAAGCAUCACAUAUCUUCUGAAGUUACAAGACAUUUGCUCCGAUAUAGAAAAUAGAGGACAAUAUAUUUGUAUCUUUUACCAAAGCAAUCAAAAUAGCGUGGUUCCUAGAAUUUGCUUCAAAAUAGCACGCACGACUAGUAGCAACAGAAGGCUGCCUAAUGAAUCAAGAAAUACGCGUGUGCACAGAUAAUGGGCACGAUGCAGAGGCCGAGGGAUGUCCCCUCUUUUUGAAAAGAAAAACACAGAUAAAGGACCGGUGUUACCAUAUCCAACAGAAAGCUAAGCAAAUGUAACCAUGUCAAUAAAAGACAUAAUUUGAAUAUUGAGUGAGCUUCUUGUAGCUAGCUAGCUACCUGUUGGCCUUUCAAGGUGUUUGGAGAAGACAGUUGGAAGUAGGAGCGUAUUAGGAAAAUCGUUUCUGGCAUCCACACACUCAGCACAACCCACAUCCGCACACUUAGCACAGUAGGAAUGUCGAUUGAUAUAUGGAGUACAUGACCGCAUAUAGGCAUGCUUCAUGUCAACCAUGAUCAUCCACCCCUUGACAUUAAAUUCCUCCUCCCUUAACAAGCAGCAAAGAACAUCUGGGUCCUCGACGCUGACGAUUGGGAACUCGGGAAGACGCUGCCGUAUGCCCAGAGCUUCGUAACCACGUUGCGCCCAUAGACAAUCCAGGUUGAUCACGCCAUGUUGCUCCCACUUGAACUUGUCGGAGUUCAAAGUCCAUAUGGUGAUUUUUUGGGAACCCUGAUGCUGCUGCCCUUGGCUUCUUCUCUCGGGAAGCUGACGCCAUGUCCAGUCAUCCUCGAUUGUCUCAUGGAAGUCAUUGUCAAUGUGGACAAAGCGCAUCUUGCCUUGGCUGAUGGACACGUUCCGGAACCUCCCCGGGAACUCCCUUGGGACCCGUACCUCUGCAGGGUAUUCCUUCUCUCCAGGGAAAGGUACGAAGUGGAGCGUCGGAGAACCGAUAGUGGAAGAGAAGUCAGAUAGCAGGACACCGCUGAAGUAGUCAACCCAGCAGAGGAAACGGCCGUCGAAAGCGAGCGCAUCGUCAGUUGACCAUUGGUUGGGGAGCUGACCACUGCUGCUCUUGUUCUGCUCCGGCGUGUGCCAACGUAUCAGGCCAGGCGUAAUGGAGAUGACCUUCCAGUCUUUGGCCUCGGAGGAGGAGUUGAAGACGCAGAGUGCGCCAUCCAGGACACAGAGGUCGGCGACGAUGAAGCGCUUCUCCGGGAGCCGCAGGAUGCCCGUGGUGAAUUUACCCUUCAGGAAAUGCCGCCAUUUCCUAUCCUUGGCGUACAUAGGGAGCCGCUGCACCGAUGGGGAAGGGCCGGCGGCCGUGUAGACGAACAGAGCUGCCGGCGCGCGCAAGUAGGGAAGCCGGCUCGGGUCGUAGAUGUCGAAGAGGACGAGGUCCUUGUCGGUUGCCCGGAGCAGGGCAUAGACGGCGUCGGAGCCUUCUCCCACCGGCCAGUGGAGGUUGAGGUAGGAGACCCCUUGUGGAGCCGCGAGGGUGAAGGACACGUAGCAGGAGCAGCCGCGGUCAAUGCGGAGUCGAGCGGCGGUCUUGUUCUUGCUGACGAUCAGACGAGCGGCGUCUAGGUCCUUGUGGCAGCGGGUGCGGCCCAUGCGAUCCAGCAUCGCCCAGUCGGGGAAGACGGCGGCCUCCUCCAUCGCCCAAUCGGUGAAGACGUCGGUCUCCUCCUCCUCUUCCUCCUCCGCCAUCUCCCAAUCGGAGAGGACGACCGUCUCCUCCUCAUCGGAGCUUGGCCCGGCUUCCAUGGGCAGCAUGGCGAUCGGGAUCGGGAAUAAAGCAGCUGCCGCCUCCCUAGCCCAAAAGGACCCUAGGUAUAAAAUUUUGGGCCCAGUUCGUACCGACGAGUACUUCUCGGACGACGACCAAGCACAGCUGACUGAUCACGAUGAAGUUCUUUUACGUUGAUGAGAUUGCACCGCACCCGAUCAAUCUUUCGCUGGCCGCGAUGCAGUUUAGCCGAACCUAGGUCACGUAGAAAGGUAUUGCCACAGGAUUUUGUGUUGCUUCAAAACCACAGUAGUAGUACAAGUUACAGGGUGCAUGCAUAUACUAUAUAGUACUCUGAUGCUAACCGCCUGAAGCAAUACUACUCGGAUACUAAUUCCUACAUGGAUACAUACAAGAACAAGAAACCUAUACACACCAACACGAGGUUAUGUCGUGUUUUUUUUUUCGCAAGCGAGGUGUACUGUCAUUGCCCGAUACAGUAGGAUUUUGCGUCGUCAGUUGCCAUUGCUCGCAUGUGCAUGACGGGCUCUUAUAAGAAUAUAUUUUUAAAUGAAGUUAAAAAAGAAUAUAUUUUCAAAUGCGAUCACUUUCUAAAAUUAUAUGAACAAUUUUAAAUUGCAUGAAAAACUUUAGUUGCACAAAAAACUUCUUAAAAACUUACUACAUUUUUUUUCAAACAUGAAAAUUUUGAAUUAUUUAAAAUAUGUGAUUUUUAAAAAAAACAUGAAUAUUUUUUAGAUUCAUAUGACUUACUAUAUGUGUGAAUAUUUCUACAUAAAAGCCGAGUUCUUGGUGUAGUGAAAUCCUCUAGCACUUGACGCUCUGACUUGGUGGUUUGAUUUGCAAAUUUCACCAAGUUGUUCUGGGGUUGGAAGUCGGCGAUUAGCGGGAUGGGGUAAUUCAAGUCAUUGGAAUCUUGCCAAUUGAAAUAUCGUGGUUUGUCGAUUACAGAUGGUGAGUAGGAAAUUAUAAAAUUCUAUAUCCAAAAACAGAGUAGUCGGCAUAAUUGAAUAACAAGAACCGAAACUGAGUUUUUUACCAGCAAGGUAAAAAGGUCAGAACUGGUGGAUGGGGAGGGACGGGAACGAAUGGUCACAGAGUCAAGUUAUACCAACUGGGCCACAUUUCAAAAAAGAAAAAAGGAAACCUAUCAAGUACUUAAGGCCUCCCUACAGGCUUAUUACUAGAGCACCAAACAAAUUCAACCAAAUAAACUGGAGCAACAGACAUAUUCUAUGUCUCCUCAAUGUCAGGUACAGUAUGUCAAAGGGGUGCAGAGAACAUCAGGCAUCUACUCUUCACGUGUGAGCAAGCCUAACAGGUUUGGAAGUUUCUCAGAAUUCAUGAUCUUUUAGAAAAGGAGGAUGACCCCCGGCUUCUGCAUCUAGACGACGCAUACUGCCACUUUAUUAUUUAUUCUCACAAAACCUUACAAAGCCAUACAAAAGCAAGACUAAAGCCACCGUCUAAGCAACAACUGUCACUACACCUAUCCAAUUGAUGAAGGGGCGCAGAUAGUCUGAGCCUAAUACCAAACAGACAUCGCAGCCAAACCUAAACAUCUAAGACCUGAGGUCCCAACCAGGACGCCUGUCGGGUAUGAGGCACCUACCAGUCCGAUACUCUCCUCAACCAGGACGCCUGCCAGGUAUGAGGCCGCUGUAGCCAUCUGCCAUCAACCAUCUUCAGAGUUGUACUGUUGCAUGUACCGUGCCAGGUCUCUCUGCCAUCGACGCCACCACGACGCCCGAUAGCGUCGUCCUCCUGCGCGAGUCCAUCCUCCCACAUCGAACUCCGAAUCUGCACUGCUCCACGCCCUCAGGAUCCGUCGCCAUCAGUGUAUAGGAUGAAGCACCGCUCCACCAAAGAAUCUGUCCUCUGGUCCCUCGAUCACAUGUGUACCUCCAAGAAUGACGCCCCCAAGGGAGGAACGACACCAUAGCACCGCCGCAUCCGAUCAUCCGAUCUGUGGUUUCCCCCGGAGGUAGCAGAGAGUGGCCUUGGACUUCUCCACGGCGAUGCCUUCAAGAAGGGAACGACACAGAUAGCGCCGCCACUGCCAGCCUUAGCAGGAGCCGAAGGCAAAUUUUCACCCAGAUCAGUUCGAAGGGAUCCAACUCUCGUGCCCGGGCCACCGUCACCACCAGCACCACGAGGCAGACCCUGGAGUACCGGCAUAUCAGCGAGUCGCCGGCACCACCGCAUCCAGAUCGCCGGCCACGCCGGGCCGCCGCCAUCCCCCGUGCCGUCCGGGUCAGAGAUGGAGCCGCCGACCGCGCACAGGGACCGCCGCCGCCUGCACACGCCGGAGCGCCGCCGAGAUCCCGGCGCCCGGCACCGCUUGCCGAAGCCAACUGCCUGAGCACUGGCUCCACCGUGAAGCCAUCAGAUCGGGGAGGAAGACACACGCCGACCACCCUCGCGUACCCCGCCGCACGCCCGAGCAUCGGAGCCACCGUGGCGCCAUCAGAUCGGGAUGAGGAGGAGCCCGCGCGCUCGCCGCCUCGCGCAGACCACGCCGCCGCCAGCGUCGCAGCGCCACCAAGCAGGGGAGCCCCGCCCAGAUCCAUCGGCGGCCCGACCUGUCGCCGAGCCGNNNNNNNNNNNNNNNNNNNNNNNNNNNNNNNNNNNNNNNNNNNNNNNNNNNNNNNNNNNNNNNNNNNNNNNNNNNNNNNNNNNNNNNNNNNNNNNNNNNNNNNNNNNNNNNNNNNNNNNNNNNNNNNNNNNNNNNNNNNNNNNNNNNNNNNNNNNNNNNNNNNNNNNNNNNNNNNNNNNNNNNNNNNNNNNNNNNNNNNNNNNNNNNNNNNNNNNNNNNNNNNNNNNNNNNNNNNNNNNNNNNNNNNNNNNNNNNNNNNNNNNNNNNNNNNNNNNNNNNNNNNNNNNNNNNNNNNNNNNNNNNNNNNNNNNNNNNNNNNNNNNNNNNNNNNNNNNNNNNNNNNNNNNNNNNNNNNNNNNNNNNNNNNNNNNNNNNNNGGCCGUCCCGCACCGCCCAGGAGCCUCGCAAGGGGGGAGGGAGCCCCGCCGCCGCCGACGCACGCGCGGGCUUUGCCCGGCGACGGCCCCUGGCGGCGGCGAGGGAGAAGGAAGGCGAGGAAGGGGAGCGGCGGCGGCGAUCUAGGGUUCCGCCCGGGCCGCUCGCGGGAGCGGCACGGGGGACGGGGGGCACUAGGAUUCCUCGUUACCUUGCCUUGCGACAUGCAUUCCCAUCUCGGAAUUCAUGAUAUUGUAGAAAAAACACUUUUUGUUGAUCAAUCGGGGUCCAUCAUUUUGGAGGAGAUCCUUCGUCACACCGGAGCAUCGUCACCGGUUCUCGGACAAAUUGGUGUGAAGGUAAUUGUUUUAGCGGGUGCCUGGUACAUUUGGUGGCAAAGGAGUAAACUUGUCAAAGGACAGCAAGUAGCUUGGCCGGCUAGAACAACAUUUGCUAAUCAGGCUUUCACCUCAAACCAUUCUACCGUGCGAGCAGUGAAGGCACAUGAAAUUUCAUGGACAAAGCCACCACGGGGUUCAUAUAAACUUAGGGACUGUCUAGGUCUCAGUCGACUGAGACUUCGCGAAGUCUCAGUCGGCUGACGUCAUCAUAUGUAGAUUAGGCCUGUUAAGUGGCUCUCUAUCUGCUGGGUUGAACCGGCUUAACACCUGGGCUGAUUUCUCUUUUCCUGUUUGUUUGUUGGGCUGGGCCAUGACAUUGUUUGCUUGUGGGCCUGGACGACAUAGGAAAAAGAUAAAAAAAAACUAUUUGCUGCUCUGCUUUAUGAACUCUACUUUUUGACUGAACCCAGGCAAAACCCCAUGCCCACAAGCAUGGAGAAACUCACUAGUGUAAGGGCGUCUGAUCUCUUCUCUGAUUUUCUCCCCCUCCCACCUUUCCCCCCGUCUUCUCUUCUGUGAUUUGUUCUAGAUCUGAUUUUCUUUUCUCUCUUCUCAUGUUUGUAACAGCAAUCCUGUAGCAGUAUGGAAGAUUCCUGAUGGGACAGAGGUUAGAGUUAUAAUUUGUAGGAAAAUUAGAGAAGAGGCAAAACUGAAUCAAGUACUAUUGGACCGCAUGUGUGUUGUAGCAAUUCUGACAGCAGAAAAUCAUUUUAUUUUUAACUGUAUGUCCAUGAAAAAUUGAUGUUGGACUCCUCCCUACAAAAGUUGUAUAUGGAUUGAUUGGUUCAUGUUUUAGGACAGAAUAUGGCUUGGUAAUUAAAACAGAAAUCAGUAGGGUGCUGCCCUCUCCCCUGCACAAGACACUAAAAGGAAAGACUGAACUUUUUUCAAGAUUUGCUACAGUGGGGUUGUAUUACAAGCAUAUUAUCAUACAUGACCCUGCCUAGUGUACAGAAACAGAUGAGAAAAAUGUAGCAUGGUUAACAUCUAGUUUGGUGACUACAGAAGAUCAAGAAUGUAUAGUGUUAACUAAGAAAAAAGAAACAGAGGCAUAGAAAAAAUGAACCUUUCUUGUGGAUGACCAAAUAUACCUCAGCAAUAAUGUUUUCUCUUCAUUUUGUAGGUGCUGGACGGAACUAUGGCACAAAGAACUCCAAACAGCUGUGGACCAGGACCAGUUAAU